CCUACGGGAGGCAGCAGUGGGGAAUGUUGCACAAUGGGCGCAAGCCUGAUGCAGCGACGCCGCGUGAGGGAUGACGGCCUUCGGGUUGUAAACCUCUUUCACCAGGGGCGAAGCGAGAGUGACGGUACCUGGAGAAGAAGCACCGGCCAACUACGUGCCAGCAGCCGCGGUAAUACGUAGGGUGCGAGCGUUGUCCGGAAUUACUGGGCGUAAAGAGCUCGUAGGCGGUUUGUCGCGUCGUUCGUGAAAACUUGGGGCUUAACUUCAAGCGUGCGGGCGAUACGGGCAGACUUGAGUACUACAGGGGAGACUGGAAUUCCUGGUGUAGCGGUGAAAUGCGCAGAUAUCAGGAGGAACACCGGUGGCGAAGGCGGGUCUCUGGGUAGUAACUGACGCUGAGGAGCGAAAGCGUGGGUAGCGAACAGGAUUAGAUACCCUGGUAGUCCACGCCGUAAACGGUGGGUACUAGGUGUGGGUCCCUUUUCACGGGAUCCGUGCCGUAGCUAACGCAUUAAGUACCCCGCCUGGGGAGUACGGCCGCAAGGUUAAAACUCAAAGGAAUUGACGG
rnacentral:rRNA from 1 species